CCCAGAAUCCCAGUGCUCUCUGACAGGGUCUGAGGAUUCCUUAGGCAGUCUGGAUGAGAGAGAGAAAAGGCUGCUGACCAGUGAGAUGAACUACUGGACUAAGGAGAGGAGGAGGAAUGGCAGUGCAGGGUGCCGCCAUAAAUCCACUCGCAGAACCUCAUCACCAUGCUGUUCGCCUAAGAGGUCCCAGACCUCAUUGCAGAGCUUGCCUGCAACUAGAGAGGCUCCCCUCAUGGAGGAGCCUCUAAAGGCUCUUUUUGGGGUAACGGAAGAGAGCCUCCUGAUAUCCCUGGUUGAGGGUCACUCCAACCCCACCUCCUCCAGCUCCUCCGAUUUGAGCUGUGCUAUCGUGGGAGAGGUAGUACACCAGCUUAACUCUGGCCUCUCAGUGGCCAUUCAGGCCAGCUCGGGGAGUUGCCCCCCUAUGGACAGUCAGGACAUAGCAGCAGGCAAGGAGGUCAUUCGGGUAGUCUCGGUGCAGAUCCUGGCCGAGCUACAGAGCCAAACGUCUGAGCCAGAGUGGGUAGGGUUUAUCGAGCCCCUCAUGGACCCUGUGACCGAUGAUGUGCUGGAUGCCAUUGUCGGCACAAUGGACAAAAUGGCACAGGACUUCAACAUCCUAUUGGAUCUGGCCAAGAAGAUGACAAUCUUGGGGUCUAAAUUUCUGACCAAUCUUCAAUGUGACCUUGAUGUUGAGUGUCCAUCUGGGAAAGAAGGGACCACUCACUUUCUCAAAGAGACUGGAUCCUCUACCAGUGUGGUGGCCAGAAAGAUUCAGACCCUCUCUAGCCCCGACUUUCAGUCUAAAGCCCUGAAGGCGGUGAGCACCAUCCUUACAAGGAAAGUCAGCAGCUCUUCUGGCAUGGCUCCUUCCUCUAGGCCUUCUAGUGCUGCUCCUAGCCUUACUGAAGCUCCCCUAAAUACCAGCUGCACAGCCCUGACACCUGUAACCUCCACUGCCACAGUGAUUGUUAAGGCAUUUGUGGGAGGCAUGGAGACGAUAGCAUCAUUUGAAGGCACAUGUGAAGCAGUUGAUUGGCCAGCUCCUGUAAAUGACCACAAAACAGGAUCUUCACAGAUGAUAACCUUCUCUCUAGCCCGCACACUCUACGGCCGUAUACGAGCAAAGCUGAGGGACCUUUUAACUCUAUCCGCUCGAGAAGAAGGUGUGGCUAAGGAUGCUUCUCUUCAGGGGUCUUCAUACACCCUGGAAAAGGCAACUGUUUCAACUGUUGAGGUCCAGUUACCCAGCACCGAACUUAGUAGAGUUCCCAGUGAGAGCCAACCAAUACCAGCUCUCUGUCUCUCCAAUCUGGAUACCAGUACUCAAGAAGUUCUUAGCAGUGUUUUUUCCAUCUACAAGUCAGAGUUAUCAAAAGUGGAGAGUAAAUCCUUGGCCGUUGUCAGUUCAUCUGAUGAGUCCCUAGAGGCUUGUUGGUUUGUUGAUAGUGUCCUAUCAAAGCUCGAUGACUAUACUAUUUCCCAGUCACCCUCACCCAAUGAAGACUUGAGCGUGAGUACUCAAUAUUCUCAACUGAGCUCAGAAGAGAGUGUCAGAAUCACAGAGUCCUCUACUAGUCUGAUUCAGAGCAUUAAGAAGCUCUCUAGCAAUGACUUCCAGACUCAGGCAGAAGAGGCAGUGAGUAAAGUGCUGAUGAGAUCCAGUCAUUCCUUUAUCACACAGAUCAGCCAUACUGGUCUUCAGAAAAGUCUGCAGGCUGGCUUAUCAUCUAGCUCACCAUCAGAGAUCCAUGUCCUUUCAGAAUCCAUGUCCUCCAUGUCCUCUGGAUUAGUGGAAACCUUUGUCAAAGGAAUGGCGACUAUUUUCCAGAAAAAUGAGUCCACUGACACUGUGCUACUGGAAAGAAGUGGGAGACUUUCGCAGUGCUCCCACGGGGGCUCCCAACUGGAUGAUACUGAAUUGAGUGUUAAAAUAUCAGAGGAGAAGCUUUGGUCAACAGCUAAGACCAUCUGUGUCAGUAUGAAGAACACACUUAAGAAUUUCUUCACAGGGCUGAAACCACCCGGAUCCGAAAGGACAGAAAAUGAUUCUUCCAAAGAGACCCUUGGGGAAAUCCUGGUUGCUAUCCAGAGUGAAAGUUCAAACUUAGGGGGACGAAUGAAGGAUUCCAGGGAGCUCCUUCAGAUCAAAGAUAUGGUAGGAACUAUGCUGAAGGAGGUUGAGAAAAGUGAGAAUGACAGUGAACAAGUCUGCCAAGACAUCCCUAGAACCUGUUCAUCUUUGUCCACUUCUUUAAAUGGUCGUAGUUCCUUGUCCAGCUCUUCAAAGAGUCCUAGGUCAGAGUGUGAGUUAGAGAUCAACCUCCCUGGCACUCCCAUCCCUGACGAAGUGCCUUUUGAUCUGACCUGCCCCAUCGUCAGGAGCUCCUGCAUCGACACCAGGGUCUCUAAAAUACCAGAGAUUUCUUCAAGUGACCUAAAGACAAAGAUGAUGGCACACACAGAUGAACCCCUGUAUCGUAACAGUCCAAUGACUGACAGCAGUCGACCACCGAGUGCUAAAGCCUCUUUUCGAUCCUCCACUCCGUCUUUCACCAGCAAGGGAACCUCUUUGGUACCAAAGGGAGAUGGGAUUGACAUUGAAGAGAAGGAGGAGUGUAUCCCCAGCAGCUCUGGCCAUCUGAGGGAGCUCUUAAUCACCCCGGACAUCAGCAGUGCCACUGCAUUCCCACUGCAGUACUUGAUGGACUCCAGCAAAGAUGAUGGCAUCUGUUUUGUCACCAUACUGGUGAUAAGGUUGCUAUCGGAGAUCAGACCCUCAACCCUAGAUGGACCCUCCCAACAGGUAGCAGAUCUGACAGAAACAUCUCAGCAACUCAUCAGACAAGUCCUGUCUGAGUUCUGUGCUGCAUCUAGAUUCUCCAGGACACAGGCAUAUUCCCAGAACCUGAACAUCCAAAGGGUGUUCAGAGGUGUACAUAAAAACCUCAUGGAGGAGUUUGGCUCUUAUAACACCCUGCAAGCAGCUAUUUCCUCCCAGGACCCUGCAUUUGACAGAGUCCUGGUAAAGUCCUUGACCCAGCAGCUGGUACAGGGAUGCAAGGAGGCAUCAAGACCAGCUUUUGCUGCAACAAACCCAUCAGACCAGGCUGAGACAGAGAGGGGGGCUGAGCAGAAAGCAAGAAGGAGCUUCCUUUGCUUUUCAAUGACCAAACUCAGGAUCAACUUCAAG
ensembl:lncRNA